CUUAGAGCUGCUUCGCCUACAGGAAGAAGACAAGCGAGAAUGAAGAUGGCAGGGAAAACAGCAUCACAGGAGCAAAAUUAAUGCAGUUAACAAAACUUCAGCCUAAUGAGGACAGAUGGCAGGGGUGCGCAGCUGAGGGCAGUAAGAGCCCUGAGACGACAGGCUGGAAGACACACUGAGCACCUUCUCAUGAAAAGAUGCAAGUGGCCAGUCCUCAGCAUCUUCUAUAGCCCAUCUCACAGACACAAGGCAAGCAAAGAGCAACGCCAAGCAGAAGAGUUCAUGUAACAGGUUCAGUCAGCAGUAUCUGUGUCCCUACUGAAACGUUCAUACAAUACAAACAUCAUAACAGCAAAACUCAUGUUUUCACAAGUGUGGAUUUGACAGCAAGACACCAGAGAAGUCUUAAAUAUAUGUCUGAGAACUCCAGGAGUUACCAAGACUGGAAAAAAAAAAACACACUAUUUUGGCCGCUAGCUUCCUUUCUCCCUGACCUAGCAACUCAGUAUGAGCUGUGCUCAGACACCGCUACCAUAUCCUCUUCCCCCUCCCAAUUUCCUCUCUCCUGCUGGCUAUCAUUAAUCCAUAAAAUCUGAGCAUUAACUACAGCCCAGAAAUAAAAGGCUUUAUCUUUCCAACUGAAGAUUUACCUGAUACAGGCCUUAAGAUAGACUGAAAUAAAACUCGAACUCAAGCACUGCCCUUCUCCCUUCCGUUUCUCUGCUCUGCAUCUGACAACAGAUUUGCCCACAGGAGUGAAAUUCCUAGCACACUUACUAACUUUGCAGAAAAGUCAUCAGUUGUGUUGUCUGUCAACAGGGUCCUUAACUUUAAGGGCUUUGGUUAAAUUA